GGGCUCAUCGUUCAAUGGUAGGAUAACUCGUUUGCAACGAGUGGAUUCGGGUUCGAUUCCCGAUGAGUCCA
rnacentral:tRNA from 1 species